GUCGGAGCGGCGCAAGGGUGCGAAACACGUGGGUAAUCUGCCAUGAAGUUCGGGAUAACUUGCUGAAAGGCGAGCUAAUACCGGAUGUGACAACCGAGAGGCAUCUUUUGGUUGUUAAAGUUGGGGACCGUAAGGCCUGACGCUUCUUGAUGAACCCGCGGCCUAUCAGCUAGUUGGUGAGGUAACGGCCCACCAAGGCUAAGACGGGUAGCUGGUCUGAGAGGACGACCAGCCACACUGGAACUGAGACACGGUCCAGACACCUACGGGUGGCAGCAGUCGAGAAUUUUUCACAAUGGGCGCAAGCCUGAUGGAGCGACGCCGCGUGGGGAUGAAUGGCUUCGGCCCGUAAACCCCUGUCAUUUGCGAUCAAACCUCAUUAUUUAAAAGAUGAUGAGCUGAUAGUAGCGAAAGAGGAAGGGACGGCCAACUCUGUGCCAGCAGCCGCGGUAAUACAGAGGUCCCAAGCGUUGUUCGGAUUCACUGGGCGUAAAGGGUGCGUAGGUGGUGAGGUAAGUCGGAUGUGAAAGCUCGGAGCUCAACUCCGAAAUGGCAUUGGAAACUACCUUGCUCGAGGGUUGGAGGGGGGACUGGAAUACUUGGUGUAGCAGUGAAAUGCGUAGAUAUCAAGUGGAACACCAGUGGCGAAGGCGAGUCCCUGGACAACUCCUGACACUGAGGCACGAAAGCUAGGGGAGCAAACAGGAUUAGAUACCCUGGUAGUCCUAGCCGUAAACGGUGCACGUUUGCUGUAAAAGGAAUCGACCCCUUUUGUGGCGGAGCCAACGCGUUAAACGUGCCGCCUGGGAAGUACGGUCGCAAGAUUAAAACUCAAAGAAAUUGACGGGGGCCUGCACAAGCGGUGGAGUAUGUGGCUCAAUUCGAUGCAACGCGAAGAAC
rnacentral:rRNA from 1 species